CCCAGGGGUGCCACCGGGCUUUGUCCCGGUACUGGGAGCAGUGGCACAUGGCCCGUGCUGGCCCGGUGACAUUGGCAUCAUCCACAGGGUGCUGGCAGUGUCCCCGGCAUUGUCCCCGCGGUGCUGGCCCGGUGACACCGGCAUUGUCCCCACGGUGCUGGCCUGGUGUCAUCAGCAUUGUCCCCACGGUGCUGGCCCAGUGACACUGGCAUCAUCCACAGGGUGCUGGCAGUGUCCCCGGCAUUGUCCCUGCGGUGCUGGCCCGGUGACACUGGCAUUGUCCCCACAGCGGUGGUUCGGUGUCAUGGCCAUUGUCCCCGCGGUGCUGGCCCGGUGACACCAGCAUUGUCCCCACGGUGCUGGCCCGGUGUCACCAGGAUUGUCCCCACAGUGGUGGUUCGGUGUCACGGCCAUUGUCCCCACGGUGCUGGCCCGGUGUCACCAGCAUUGUCCCCACAGUGGUGGUUCGGUGUCACGGCCAUUGUCCCCGCGGUGCUGGCCCGGUGACACCGGCAUUGUCCCCACAGUGGUGGUUCGGUGUCACGGCCAUUGUCCCCACGGUGCUGGCAGUGUCCCCGGCAUUGUCCCCGCGGGGCCCCGGGGCCGCGUUCUCCCGGGUGUGCCGACCAAGCCCUCCCUGGUGUGGCCCUUGCGGUGGCACCGCGCCGCGGUGGCCCGCGGGCUGGGCAGGGUCCGGGCCACCCGUGCCAGUUCCCAGUCCCAGUCCCAGUCCCAGUUCCCAGUUCCAGUUCCCAGUCCCAGUUCCCAGUCCCAGUCCCAGUCCCAGUCCCAGUUCCCAGUCCCAGUCCCAGUCCCAGUUCCCAGUUCCAGUUCCCAGUCCCAGUCCCAGUUCCCAGUCCCAGUUCCCAGUUCCGAGUCCCAGUCCCAGUUCCCAGUCCCAGUCCCAGUCCCAGUCCCAGUCCCCAGUCCCAGUUCCCAGUUCCCAGUCCCAAUUCCCAGUCCCAAUUCCCAGUCCCAAUUCCCAGUUCCCAGUUCCCUGCCAGUGCCACUCGUCGCCGCCACGUCCCGG
rnacentral:lncRNA from 1 species